UACGGGGGGGGCAAGCGUUGUUCGGAAUUACUGGGCGUAAAGGGUUCGUAGGUGGCCCGCUAAUUCAGACGUGAAAUCCCUCAGCUCAACUGGGGAACUGCGUCUGAGACUGGCGGGCUUGAGUGCAGGAGAGGAACGCGGAAUUCCAGGUGUAGCGGUGAAAUGCGUAGAUAUCUGGAGGAACACCGGUGGCGAAGGCGGCGUUCUGGACUGUUACUGACACUGAGGAACGAAAGCCAGGGGAGCAAACGGG
rnacentral:rRNA from 1 species